GGUCCUAUAGUGUAGUGGUUAUCACAGCGGAUUCUGAUGAUAAACCGUGGUAGGCAUCUGUAUUCCGCUAACGCAGGUUCGAGUCCUGCUAGGACCU
rnacentral:tRNA from 1 species